GACGAACGCUGGCGGCGUGCUUAACACAUGCAAGUCGAACGGAAAGGCCCUGCUUGCAGGGUACUCGAGUGGCGAACGGGUGAGUAACACGUGGGUGAUCUGCCCUGCACUUCGGGAUAAGCCUGGGAAACUGGGUCUAAUACCGGAUAGGAGCCAUUUUUAGUGUGAUGGUUGGAAAGUUUUUUCGGUGUAGGAUGAGCUCGCGGCCUAUCAGCUUGUUGGUGGGGUAAUGGCCUACCAAGGCGGCGACGGGUAGCCGGCCUGAGAGGGUGGCCGGCCACAUUGGGACUGAGAGACGGCACAGACUCCGACGGGAGGCAGCAGUGGGGAAUAUUGAACAAUGGGCGCAAGCCUGAUGCAGCGACGCCGCGGGGGGGAUGACGGCCUUCGGGUUGUAAACUCUUUUCGCUAGGGACGAAGCUUUUUGUGACGGUACCUAGAUAAGAAGCACCGGCUAACUACGUG
rnacentral:rRNA from 1 species